CAAAUUGCUCAGGGUUCUGGGCACAUGUACUCGAGGACUCUUCUGGUCCUGGCUGUGCCAACUUUGUACGUUUGGAA